AUAUGCCAGUCACUUCAUACUUUGUGGUCAGCUUCGUUCCGCAUUACCAUUGCCAUGGUUCUUCUUUAUCAACAACUAGGUGUUGCUUCCCUUUUGGGCGCUUUGAUGCUAGUCCUUAUGUUUCCAUUACAGACAUUUAUCAUCAGUAGAAUGCAGAAGUUGUCUAAGGAAGGAU